UUAGGCUUAAAAAAAAAUGUUAAAAAUUCAAUUAUAUCAUUUGUGUUCUAUAACUGAACUUGUUAUCAAUAAGAUAUGUACAGUUCCAUGUUACUUUCUACUCUAAGAUACAAUUUAUGUAUUUUUAAGUUAAUAAGAGCCUAAUCUGUGUGAAGGUUUAAUUGCAAAACACAAAAGGACAUUACUACUUUUCUACAAGAAGUUAAAAGCUUUCAGCCUUUAAUUCAUAUUUUAGGUGUGAUAUUAUGUUGUGUUAGCUAAUGUUCAUGUAAACUUGAACAACAAUUUAUGUAAACUUUGUAAAAUGAUCAGCUUCAGAACUAUAGUACUUGAGAUUUAUAAAGAGCCCUGCCUUACUUGAGAUAAGGCUCUGUCCCAUCUCACUACAUGUGAAAAUGGCUAUAAAAAAAGGUAAGCCAGAUUUCAGUACAGUUAAAGUUGUGUCCAAAAGUAGGUUUUUGCCAAGAUUACUAGGAUCUCAAACAGAAAAUUAUGAUGUAUAACCCUGCCAGAAUUCAAGGUAGCUAUUAUAUAAGCUAAAUAUGUUUUUACCCUAGUUAGUUUUGUUUUGUAGUUUGCUUAUAGAUGGUUUAAGGAUUGCCUAUUAAUAUUCUAAAGAGGUAUUGCUUUAAGAACACAACCUGGGUCAACAUAAGAUAAAGAGUUAUCACCUACAGGAUAGAGAGAUAGACAUUAAAGCCCAGUGCUCUUAAUAUAAGGCUGUUAACUUAUUUGCUGGAUGUUUAAGAUCAAGUUUUUAAAAUUAGUUAAAUUAAAAGGGCCAAGAAAACCAAUAUCUGGCUCUUGCCCUCUGAGUCAGUCUGAAUCAGGGAAUAGGGGACUUCUCCAAAGGGCUCAGCAACUCUAGGCCACAUAACCUCCUGAGCAGGGAGAUUAAUGAGACCAGUGGAGGACAGAAAGCCAAAUGGUGCAUUUGCUGUAAAGAGGAGGGUCAUUAAAAAAGGGAGACAUCCCUGAUGCUUCUGAGGAAAGCCAUAUGGUCAAACAAGGCCUGGACCCAUCCUAGCGCAAAUGGCACUAGCAGAACUGAAAAGCUGCUAUGAAGUUCCCGAGGACUCCCAGGAUAACUCAGCUGACUGUAAACAAUAGGUAGAAACAAAAGUCAGUUUGACUUGCUUCAUCUUAAACACUUAGCAAAGACAGUCAAAGCCAAAGCACAGCUGUUCCUAGACAUCUUAAAUGAUAAUAAUAAUUAAAUGUAACUUCCAUAAAUAAAUAGACUGGAGGCUACAAGAGAGAUUCUUAGACAGAAAUGCCUGAUAACUGUCAAAGGAACUACUAAAAUAGUUUUAGUCUAAGGCUUUUAUUUCUAGACAACACAGGUAGACUUGAUGUUUGCUAAUAUGGUUAUCCAGCCCUAAGUAGCAGAAUUAAAGAUUUCUCUAUUAGACACAGAGAAAAAACAAAAGGCUCUUUUGGAAGCUCGCAAAAAUGUGCCAGGGGACGACGGGCGCCCCACCCAACUCACAAAUUUGAUUAACGAAGCUUUUCCUUUAACCCGGCCAAACUGGGACUAUGCGACUGAAGCAGACUCAUUUGCAUGCUUUGCAAUUGGUCCAGAACGAGGUCUGGAAGCCUCUAGCCGCAGCAUACAAAGAGGAACUUAAAACCCCCUUGCUGCCACAUCCCUUCAAGGUCGGAGAUACCGUCUGGGUACGCAGGCACCAGAGCAGGAACCUCGAACCGCGGUGGAAAGGACCCUACACUAUCCUGCUGACCACUCCUACUGCACUCAAAGUGGACAGCAUCGCUGCUUAGAUCCAUGCUUCCCACGUAAAGACUGCACAUCCACAGGAGUCCGCAGACACCUCUCCGGAUCCAGAAUGGAAGUUGCAACGUACCCAAAAUCCGCUAAAGAUAAGACUCACUCGCUGUUAAUUUUUCUUGCUUUGUGCUGUGUCUUCCCCAUAUCAGUUAACCCCAACCAAUCUGUGAGCCAGACAUGACAAGUAUUAUCGGGGACAAGAAAUAUAAUUUAAAAAAAAAAAAAACAAAACAGGAUCCCCCACUUUCUGCCGACUCUUGCAGGAGCCUGAAAUGGUACGGGGCAGGGCCAUGUACCGCAUUUGCCUGCAACCCCUUAAACAUUACCUUUACUCAGGCAGGCAAAGCAUCAAAAGAUUGGAUAAAAAAAAAAAAAACAAUGGGGCCUGAGAGUA